AACGAAUGCUGGCGGCAUGCCUAACACAUGCAAGUCGAACGAGACCUUCGGGUCUAGUGGCGCACGGGUGCGUAACGCGUGGGAAUCUGCCCUUGGGUUCGGAAUAACAGUGAGAAAUUACUGCUAAUACCGGAUGAUGUCUUCGGACCAAAGAUUUAUCGCCCAGGGAUGAGCCCGCUUAGGAUUAGCUAGUUGGUGGGGUAAUGGCCUACCAAGGCGACGAUCCUUAGCUGGUCUGAGAGGAUGAUCAGCCACACUGGGACUGAGACACGGCCCAGACUCCUACGGGAGGCAGCAGUGGGGAAUAUUGGACAAUGGGCGCAAGCCUGAUCCAGCAAUGCCGCGUGAGUGAUGAAGGCCUUAGGGUUGUAAAGCUCUUUUACCCGGGAUGAUAAUGACAGUACCGGGAGAAUAAGCUCCGGCUAACUCCGUG
rnacentral:rRNA from 1 species